CGUCGCAAGCAGGUCGCGCGUAAAUAACGUAGGGCGGGCCAAGCGUUGUUCAGGAAUCUAUGGGCGUAAAGCGACGCGCCACGGCCGGUUUUUUAAGUUUGAUGUGAAAGCUUUCGGUUCAACCGAAGAAGCGCAUCGAAACUGGGCAACUCGAGUGCAGAAGAGGACAGUGGAACUCAUGUGUAGCGGUGAAAUGGUAGAUAUAUGGAAGAACACCAGUGGCGAAGGGGGCUGUUUGGUCUGUAACUGACGCUGAGGCUCGAAAGUAUGGGUAGCAAACAGGAUUAGAUACCCUGGUAGUCCCAUCCCGUAAACGAUGAAUGCUAAGUGUUGGAGGGUUUCCGCCCUUCAGUGCUGCAGCUAACGCAUUAAGCAUUCCGCCUGGGGAGUACGGCCGCAAGGCUGAAACUCAAAGGAAUUGACGGGGGCCCGCACAAGCGGUGGAGCAUGUGGUUUAAUUCGAAGCUACGCGAAGAACCUUACCAGGUCUUGACAUACUAUGCAAAUCUAAGAGAUUAGACGUUCCCUUCGGGGACAUGGAUACAGGUGGUGCAUGGUUGUCGUCAGCUCGUGUCGUGAGAUGUUGGGUUAAGUCCCGCAACGAGCGCAACCCUUAUUAUCAGUUGCCAGCAUUAAGUUGGGCACUCUGGUGAGACUGCCGGUGACAAACCGGAGGAAGGUGGGGAUGACGUCAAAUCAUCAUGCCCCUUAUGACCUGGGCUACACACGUGCUACAAUGGAUGGUACAACGAGUUGCGAACUCGCGAGAGUAAGCUAAUCUCUUAAAGCCAUUCUCAGUUCGGAUUGUAGGCUGCAACUCGCCUACAUGAAGUCGGAAUCGCUAGUAAUCGCGGAUCAGCAUGCCGCGGUGAAUACGUUCCCGGGCCUUGUACACACCGCCCGUCACACCAUGAGAAUCGUUACACCCAAUCCCGGUUCGGUAACAAUUCCGACCACAGCUCCCCCCUACGCCGUA
rnacentral:rRNA from 1 species